CCUCUACAACAGUCCACUGGCCGCUGCACUGCAACCAAAUUCAGGAACAUAAGUAGCUACUUCUCCAACGAGAAGAGCCAAAUACUACGCACGCCGAAUCGCUGACAGUGACACUGAAUUUCAGUACCUAGCUGGAAAUAUUCGAAAUUUUUGCUUCCACUCGAUUCCACUCGACUGAGUUUGUAAAGUUAAAUGUCGAGAACGUAAAACAGAAUUCACCGUGACAAAGGCGAAAGUUCUGAAAUGGAAAAAUUGCGGCUAAAUUAUGGGUGCGACUGUGAGGGCAAUCAAAUGGGAUUUAUUUGAUUUUAUUCCUACACUUAUCUAAGGCUUUACAUAAUAUAGAACGCUUGUAAAAAAUAAGCGUAGGUUUAGACAAGGCUAUGAAAUAGGGGCCAAAAUAAUUAAGAAAGGCUAUAAAUGGUUAGUCUGACUGUCAUCAUGUCAUCAUCAUAAUUUCCAUCAGGAGGUGAUGUCGAAGCGAGCCUCGGCCAAUCGGAGGAGACCGUGCGUCACAUGUGUGCUGAGUUGCAGGAGUGGAGCUUGACACAUCCCAAAUCUAUGGAGCGGCCAGGGCGAACUAUGUCUGUGACUGAUCGCGUAGAACUUUGUGGGACAUUAUCCAAGAAACACUGACGAAUAAAUGUUUUAGAUUAAUCUAUUUUAUGUUGUGAAUAAACCUUUUUUGAACUCUGUAA